rnacentral:rRNA from 1 species
UACGAAGGGGGGCUAGCGUUGCUCGGAAUCACUGGGCGUAAAGCGCACGUAGGCGGAUUGCUAAGUCAGGGGUGAAAUCCUGGAGCUCAACUCCAGAACUGCCUUUGAUACUGGCGAUCUCGAGUCCGGGAGAGGUGAGUGGAACUGCGAGUGUAGAGGUGAAAUUCGUAGAUAUUCGCAAGAACACCAGUGGCGAAGGCGGCUCACUGGCCCGGUACUGACGCUGAGGUGCGAAAGCGUGGGGAGCAAACAGG